rnacentral:rRNA from 1 species
UACGUAGGUGGCGAGCGUUGUCCGGAUUUACUGGGCGUAAAGGGCGUGCAGGCGGUUUGUUAAGUGCAGGGUGAAAGCUCCCGGCUCAACUGGGAGAGGUCCUUGCAUACUGGCGAACUCGAGGGAGGCAGAGGAAAGUGGAAUUCCCGGUGUAGUGGUGAAAUGCGUAGAUAUCGUAAGGAAGACCAGUGGCGAAGGCGGGUCUCUGGACAGUUCCUGACGCUGAGGCACGAAGGUCAGGGGAGCAAACGGG